rnacentral:rRNA from 1 species
AACGUAGGACGCGAGCGUUAUCCGGAGUUACUGGGCGUAAAGCGCGGGCAGGCGGUCUGACAAGUCUGAUGUGAAAUCUCCGGGCUUAACCGGGAGAGGCCAUUGGAAACUGACAGGCUGGAGGGCAGUAGAGGUAGGCGGAAUUCCGGGUGGAGUGGUGAAAUGCGUAGAGAUCCGGAGGAACACCAGAGGCGAAGGCGGCCUACUGGGCUGCACCUGACGCUGAGCCGCGAAAGCCAGGGGCAGCGAACGGGAUUAGACGUACC